UACGGAGGGUGCAAGCGUUAUCCGGAUUCACUGGGUUUAAAGGGUGCGUAGGAGGGCAGGUAAGUCAGUGGUGAAAUCUCCAAGCUUAACUUGGAAACUGCCGUUGAUACUAUCUGUCUUGAAUACCGUGGAGGUGAGCGGAAUAUGUCAUGUAGCGGUGAAAUGCUUAGAUAUGACAUAGAACACCAAUUGCGAAGGCAGCUCACUACACGAAUAUUGACACUGAGGCACGAAAGCGUGGGGAUCAAACAGG
rnacentral:rRNA from 1 species